rnacentral:rRNA from 1 species
AAAUUGAAGAGUUUGAUCAUGGCUCAGAUUGAACGCUGGCGGCAGGCCUAACACAUGCAAGUCGAGCGGUAGCACAGAGAGCUUGCUCUCGGGUGACGAGCGGCGGACGGGUGAGUAAUGUCUGGGAAACUGCCUGAUGGAGGGGGAUAACUACUGGAAACGGUAGCUAAUACCGCAUAACGUCGCAAGACCAAAGUGGGGGACCUUCGGGCCUCAUGCCAUCAGAUGUGCCCAGAUGGGAUUAGCUAGUAGGUGGGGUAAUGGCUCACCUAGGCGACGAUCCCUAGCUGGUCUGAGAGGAUGACCAGCCACACUGGAACUGAGACACGGUCCAGACUCCUACGGGAGGCAGCAGUGGGGAAUAUUGCACAAUGGGCGCAAGCCUGAUGCAGCCAUGCCGCGUGUGUGAAGAAGGCCUUCGGGUUGUAAAGCACUUUCAGCGGGGAGGAAGGCGGUGAGGUUAAUAACCUCAUCGAUUGACGUUACCCGCAGAAGAAGCACCGGCUAACUCCGUGCCAGCAGCCGCGGUAAUACGGAGGGUGCAAGCGUUAAUCGGAAUUACUGGGCGUAAAGCGCACGCAGGCGGUCUGUCAAGUCGGAUGUGAAAUCCCCGGGCUCAACCUGGGAACUGCAUUCGAAACUGGCAGGCUAGAGUCUUGUAGAGGGGGUAGAAUUCCAGGUGUAGCGUGAAAUGCGUAGAGAUCUGGAGGAAUACCGGUGGCGAAGGCGGCCCCCUGGACAAAGACUGACGCUCAGGUGCGAAAGCGUGGGGAGCAAACAGGAUUAGAUACCCUGGUAGUCCACGCCGUAAACGAUGUCGAUUUGGAGGUUGUGCCCUUGAGGCGUGGCUUCCGGAGCUAACGCGUUAAAUCGACCGCCUGGGGAGUACGGCCGCAAGGUUAAAACUCAAAUGAAUUGACGGGGGCCCGCACAAGCGGUGGAGCAUGUGGUUUAAUUCGAUGCAACGCGAAGAACCUUACCUGGUCUUGACAUCCACAGAACUUUCCAGAGAUGGAUUGGUGCCUUCGGGAACUGUGAGACAGGUGCUGCAUGGCUGUCGUCAGCUCGUGUUGUGAAAUGUUGGGUUAAGUCCCGCAACGAGCGCAACCCUUAUCCUUUGUUGCCAGCGGUUAGGCCGGGAACUCAAAGGAGACUGCCAGUGAUAAACUGGAGGAAGGUGGGGAUGACGUCAAGUCAUCAUGGCCCUUACGACCAGGGCUACACACGUGCUACAAUGGCAUAUACAAAGAGAAGCGACCUCGCGAGAGCAAGCGGACCUCAUAAAGUAUGUCGUAGUCCGGAUUGGAGUCUGCAACUCGACUCCAUGAAGUCGGAAUCGCUAGUAAUCGUAGAUCAGAAUGCUACGGUGAAUACGUUCCCGGGCCUUGUACACACCGCCCGUCACACCAUGGGAGUGGGUUGCAAAAGAAGUAGGUAGCUUAACCUUCGGGAGGGCGCUUACCACUUUGUGAUUCAUGACUGGGGUGAAGUCGUAACAAGGUAACCGUAGGGGAACCUGCGGUUGGAUCACCUCCUUA